UACGUAGGGCGCGAGCGUUGUCCGGAUUUAUUGGGCGUAAAGAGCUCGUAGGCGGCUUGUCGCGUCGUCCGUGAAAACCUGCAGCUCAACUGCAGGCUUGCGGUCGAUACGGGCAGGCUAGAGUUCGGUAGGGGAGACUGGAAUUCCUGGUGUAGCGGUGAAAUGCGCAGAUAUCGGGAGGAACACCGGUGGCGAAGGCGGUUCUCUGGGCCGUAACUGACACUGAGGAGCGAAAGCGUGGGGAGCGAACAGG
rnacentral:rRNA from 1 species